AUGAACGCUGGCGGCGUGCUUAACACCUGCAAGUCGCACGAAGCACUUUAUUUGAUUUCCUUCGGGACUGAUUAUUUUGUGACUGAGUGGCGGACGGGUGAGUAACGCGUGGGUAACCUGCCUUGUACAGGGGGAUAACAGUUGGAAACGGCUGCUAAUACCGCAUAAGCGCACGACAUCGCAUGAUGCAGUGUGAAAAACUCCGGUGGUAUAAGAUGGACCCGCGUUGGAUUAGCUAGUUGGUGAGGUAACGGCCCACCAAGGCGACGAUCCAUAGCCGACCUGAGAGGGUGACCGGCCACAUUGGGACUGAGACACGGCCCAAACUCCUACGGGAGGCAGCAGUGGGGAAUAUUGCACAAUGGGCGAAGGCCUGAUGCAGCGACGCCGCGUGAGCGAAGAAGUAUUUCGGUAUGUAAAGCUCUAUCAGCAGGGAAGAUAAUGACGGUACCUGACUAAGAAGCACCGGCUAAAUACGUG
rnacentral:rRNA from 1 species